GGAUGGAUGUCUGAGCGGUUGAAAGAGUCGGUCUUGAAAACCGAAGUAUUGAUUGGAAUACCGGGGGUUCGAAUCCCUCUCCAUCCG
rnacentral:tRNA from 1 species